AGGACGAACGCUGGCGGCGCGCUUAACACAUGCAAGUCGAGCGAGAACCGGUCCUUCGGGACCGGGGAAAGCGGCGAACGGGUGAGUAACACGUGGGUAAUCAACCCUCAGUACCGGGAUAGCCCGAGGAAACUCGGAUUAAUACCGGAUGGCCCAACAGCUCUUCGGGGCGGUUGGAAAAGGUAGCUUCGGCCUCCGACUGAGGACGAGCCCGCGGCGGAUUAGUUAGUUGGCGGGGUAAUGGCCCACCAAGACGAUGAUCUGUA
rnacentral:rRNA from 1 species